CUCUAGGUGGAGUGUAGUAGAAAACGUCGUGACGUGAUGGUGACGCAGACACUUCUAAGGCGAAAACGUAUCAAGCCAAUUCAGAUCAGACAAAGAUCCGAUCCAAUCCAGUAUGAACACAUUUGUAUGGCGGCAAGCGUAGUGCACUUGUUUCGCUCACCAGUGUAGUGAAAAUGUUAUCGCUCGUCCAAAUGACUGUGGCGAAAUUACUGAGAACUCAAGCAGUCCGCAGCUGCUGCCUGUGGGCGACCAGUGCGCGUUCGUGCGCCGACGCCGCGAGUUUCCGGAACAUGAGCGUCGUGCUGGACGAUCAGCGUGCGGGUCCCUUGCGGCAGUCCGCCGUGCUACGAGUGCGGCUGCCGUGCUCCCUCGCUAUUUCGGCCGUCGACGUAGGCGACGACUCGGCAGCGGUGACCGCGACGCUGAUGGGCGCGCGGCCGCAGCUGUUCCUCGGCGGCGAGUCGCCGAUCGCCCUUUCGAUCGACGCGACCGGCGCGGCGCACCUUUCCAUGACCGGCAGCGUGGAUGGAGGAGCGGCGGCGCGUCCGGACUUGCUAUGCCGACUGCGCGUGCCCUUCAUGACGAGUAUCGAUGUAGACCUGUCAGGAUGUGCCCAGGCAACGCUUGAAAACCUAGUCCUGGACCAAUGCAGAAUUCGGACAGAUGGAUCAGGGGACAUUACACUGUCCAAUGUCAAGGCGAAUGCUGUGAUGCUCAGCGUGGAGAAUGGUUCCAUUAAAGCCACAGGUGCUGUGCAGGGAAACCUGGAAGCUGUAGCUCAAGGAUCAGGGGGCUUCAAGGCUCAGCGGUUUUUGGCGAAUUGCCUCAAGGUGAAGACUUCAGCGGGGCAGCAGCAAAUGUCUGCGGUCUAUGCUGAGAAAGCAUGCCUGGACUCAACAGAGGGUGCCAUUCACAUAGGGACCCUGCAUAGCCAAGAUGCUGCACUCACGUCUGAGUCAGGUGCCAUCACUUUGGGAUGUCGGGCAGCGGACAGAAAACAACUGGACAGCCUUGGCACGGAGUGUUACUUCAACAGCUGUUUUGAAAUUUGCUCAACGACAACUCUGCCACUGGGGGCCUUGACGGUGAGCGGUGUGUUGUGACGACUGACUCUGGAGAUGUCUCAGUUGUGGUCACUCACAGCCAGCACCUCAGCAUCGCGACAGAGUCUGGAAAUGUGACCCUCAGCUUGUCUGCACCCUGUAAC
rnacentral:misc_RNA from 1 species